GCCGGGCAUGGUGGCGCAUGCCUGUAGUCCCAGCUACUUGGGAGGCUGAGGCAGAAGAAUGGCGUGAACCUGGGAGGUGGAGCUUGCAGUGAGCCGAGAUCACACCACUGCACUCCACGCUCCAGCCUGGGUGACAGGGCGAGACUCUGUCUCCA
ensembl:misc_RNA Metazoa_SRP Metazoan signal recognition particle RNA